rnacentral:lncRNA from 1 species
UUGCAUUUUCUGGAAUGUAAUAUGGUUCUUAUUUUGUACAAACUUGCAAUCCCAUCUAUGUUACCUUAUUCUUCAUCUUGGAUAUCGUAUAAAGGUUCUCAACAAGGGAGUUUUCAGCAAUUGCUAUUUCAACAAAAUGAUAAUGGCAGAGAAGUUUGGAGCAGACUUAACAGAUUGAUCAUUGACUUAUUCUUUUGUUGUAUAAUUUUAGUUGUGUUUUGUGUAUUAGUUGGUUGGAUGAUAUUACUCUAAUGCUCAAUGAUUGAACAUGGAAAUAUUUUGAAGGUUUUUUAUCCAUAUGUUCAAAGGUUGAGUGUGUCAAUAACCAUUACAAGAAUACGAGUAGAUCAUAUAGAAAUGCCAAAUUAAGCAAAAAAAAAAAGAUACAAUUAUUCACUUAAACAAAUGUUUCUACGUCAAUCUUCCUAGCUUCAAGCCUAACUGAACCAGGCAAUUGGUUGUUCAUUUUCCUCUCACAAUUGUAAGCAUUGUAUGCUGAUUCGGCAUCCAACAAUGAUCUGUAAGAUUGGAAUGAAUCAAAUACAAAUUAGCAGCAUCAAGAGAAAAAGAAAAGGAUGGAUUCUAUUUUUCAAGGAUAAAAAUCAAAUACAAGUCACAUUUGGUUUGAUUUUAGAGGAGGGUUAAUGAAGCAAUAUAUGCUUUAUAGAAAAUAAAGAACCUUAGAAUGAAGCUGCAAUUACUGGAUUAGCAGAAGAAAAUUAGGGAAUUCUAUGUGGUAAAUAACUUAACAAUGCAGCUAAGACCAAAAACAAUUGCCUCAACUAAAGAAUUCACAGAAACGUGUGAUAUAUCAAACUACCCAGAAUAUGUUUGAAGAACAACUUGAAAAUCUUAAUACACACCAUAUAUGCAAACUUUAAAUACCAAAAAAAAAAAAAAUGAGUUCCAACAGACGUAAACAUUAUAUAAGCAAAAACAUAAUUACAACCAAACCAUAAGCUUUAACAUUUCACAAAAUAUCACACUUCAAAUAACUUAUUUCUAGUAAUUUUAAAAUAUAAAUAAAAAAUAAAAACAAAUGUUUUCUAAUCAAAGUAUCACAUACAAGGUUUCGUAAAGGCCGUGUCAAAAGAAUUUCUUUAACUGAUUAAAUAUACUAAUUUUAGGUGACAAUAAUCUAAUAAUAUUAAACUAAAUUAACUUAAUUUCGCGAAAAAAAAUUCAAAAAACGCAUAGAAUUACGGAUCAAGUCUAAUUAACAAUCAAACGUAGUAACCCAGAUGCAUUUAUGCCAAAAAGAAUGUUCAUAAGACUACACAAAACCACCCAAAAAAAAUUAUAAAAUAAUAAAAGCAACAGCUGUGAUAGAUUUUGCCAGAACAAGAAACACAACAAAACAAAGAGAAUAAAUCAAUCAAGGGCAUAAAUAGAUUGAACAAAAAAGGGCAAGAUCAGAGAAGAAACUGACCCACGACACUGGAUCAUGCUAAGCCUAGCGUCAUGGUGGUGGUUUUGAUGAUGCGUUAGCUGAGAUCUGAGUAAAAUAUUGAUAGUGAGCUUGUGGGUGAGUGAGAGGGGAACGAGCUUCGUGGGUGAGAGUGAGAGCCGAGAGGGACAGAGCGGGUGAGAGAGAGGGGGUGAGUGAGGGGAGGGAUAAGAAUUUAGAUUUUUAAUUUGUUUUGAUUAGCUUUUAUUAGUUUUUAAUGGUAAAAUUUGUUUUUAAUUCUCAAAUCUAAAACUUCAAAACGGCACACAAGCAUGUCGUUUCUGGCU